GAUGAACGCUGGCGGCGUGCCUAACACAUGCAAGUCGAGCGGGAAAUUUAUGAAAGAGAUUUCGGUCAAUUGAGUAAAUGGAGAGCGGCGGACGGGUGAGUAACGCGUAGGCAACCUGCCCCAUACCCAGGGAUAGCCUCGGGAAACCGGGAUUAAAACCUGAUAAAGCUUGGAAAUCACAUGGUAUUCAAGCCAAAGAUUUAUCGGUAAGGGAUGGGCCUGCGUCUGAUUAGUUAGUUGGUGGGGUAACGGCCUACCAAGACAGCGAUCAGUAGCCGACCUGAGAGGGUGAACGGCCACAUUGGAACUGAGACACGGUCCAAACUCCUACGGGAGGCAGCAGUGGGGAAUAUUGCACAAUGGGCGAAAGCCUGAUGCAGCAACGCCGCGUGAAGGAAGAAGGCCUUUGGGUCGUAAACUUCUGUUCUUAGGGAAGAGAACGGACGGUACCUAAGGAGUAAGCCCCGGCUAACUACGUGCCAGCAGCCGCGGUAAUACGUAGGGGGCGAGCGUUAUCCGGAAUUAUUGGGCGUAAAGAGUGCGUAGGUGGUUUUGUAAGCGAGAGGUGAAAGGCAAUGGCUCAACCAUUGUAAGCCUUUGGAACUGCGAGACUUGAGUGCAGGAGAGGUAAGCGGAAUUCCUAGUGUAGCGGUGAAAUGCGUAGAUAUUAGGAGGAACACCGGUGGCGAAGGCGGCUUACUGGACUGAAACUGACACUGAGGCACGAAAGCGUGGGGAGCAAACAGGAUUAGAUACCCUGGUAGUCCACGCCGUAACGAUGAGCACUAGGUGUCGGGUUCGCAAGGACUCGGUGCCGAAGUUAACGCAUUAAGUGCUCCGCCUGGGGGAGUACGCACGCAAUUGUGAAACUCAAAGGAAUUGACGGGGACCCCCCCAAGCAGCGGAACCU
rnacentral:rRNA from 1 species